GGAAGGAUCAUUACUGAAUUGUCAACACGAGUUGUUGCUGGUCCCUCAAACGGGGGCAUGUGCACACUCUGUUCACACAUCCACUCACACCUGUGCACCCUCUGUAGUUCUAUGGCUCUCGGGGGACUCUGUCCUCCUGUCAUGGUUCUACAUCUUUACACACACACUGUAAUAAGGUCUCAUGGAAUGUAUGCCGCGUUUAACGCAAUACAAUACAACUUUCAGCAACGGAUCUCUUGGCUCUCGCAUCGAUGAAGAACGCAGCGAAAUGCGAUAAGUAAUGUGAAUUGCAGAAUUCAGUGAAUCAUCGAAUCUUUGAACGCACCUUGCGCCCUUUGGCUAUUCCGAAGGGCAUGCCUGUUUGAGUAUCAUGAACACCUCAACUCUCAUGGUUUGCCAUGAUGAGCUUGGACUUUGGGGGUCUUGCUGGCCUGUGGUCAGCUCCUCUCAAAUGAAUCAGCUUGCCAGUGUUUGGUGGCAUCACGGGUGUGAUAACUAUCUACGCUUGUGGUUUUCCGCCAGAUAACCUUCAGUGACAUGGAGGUUUGCUGGAGCUCAUAAACGUCUCUCCCCCAGCGAAGACAGCUUUGUGAAUGUUUGAUCUCAAAUCAGGUAGGACUACCCGCUGAACUUAAGCAUAUCAAUAAGCGGAGGAAAAGAAACUAACAAGGAUUCCCCUAGUAACUGCGAGUGAAGCGGGAAGAGCUCAAAUUUAAAAUCUGGCGUGCCUCCGGUCGUCCGAGUUGUAGUCUGGAGAAGCGUUUUCCGUGUUGGACCGUGUAUAAGUCCCUUGGAACAGGGCGUCAUAGAGGGUGAGAAUCCCGUCUUUGACACGGACCGCCAAUGCUUUGUGAUGCGCUCUCAAAGAGUCGAGUUGUUUGGGAAUGCAGCUCAAAAUGGGUGGUAAAUUCCAUCUAAAGCUAAAU
rnacentral:rRNA from 1 species